rnacentral:miRNA from 1 species
UAAUGUCCACCAUUGUAACUGGUGUC